AGGCGAUGAAGAUAGAAUUCAUUUCUCGAUGCUGAUAUAAUAAUAGGGUUUUUGACCUUCCAUUUGGUCUUUAAUUCUGAUGACCUAUUUGUGCGUGUCUGAGCCUC
rnacentral:snoRNA from 1 species